GAUGAAGAACGUAGCGAAAUGCGAUAAGUAAUGUGAAUUGCAGAAUUCAGUGAAUCAUCGAAUCUUUGAACGCACAUUGCGCCCGCCAGUAUUCUGGCGGGCAUGCCUGUUCGAGCGUCAUUACAACCCUCAGGCCCCCGGGCCUGGCGUUGGGGAUCGGCGGAAGCCCCCUGCGGGCACAACGCCGUCCCCCAAAUACAGUGGCGGUCCCGCCGCAGCUUCCAUUGCGUAGUAGCUAACACCUCGCAACUGGAGAGCGGCGCGGCCACGCCGUAAAACACCCAACUUCUGAAUGUUGACCUCGCAUCAGGUAGGAAUACCCGCUGAACUUAAGCAUAUCAAUAAGCGGAGGA
rnacentral:misc_RNA from 1 species